UACGGGGGGAGCAAGCGUUGUUCGGAUUUACUGGGCGUAAAGGGCGUGUAGGCGGUUAGGUAGGUCCGUUGUGAAAACUCGAGGCUCAACCUCGAGACGCCGAUGGAAACCAUCUGACUAGAGUCCGGAAGAGGAGAGUGGAAUUCCUGGUGUAGCGGUGAAAUGCGCAGAUAUCAGGAAGAACACCCGUGGCUAAGGCGGCUCUCUAGUACGGUACUGACGCUGAGACGCGAAAGCGUGGGGAGCGAACAGG
rnacentral:rRNA from 1 species